CCAGUUCUCAUGGAGCCAUCCUUGAAAUACCACCCUGGCAACCUUGAGGUUCUAACUCUGGUCCGUUAUCCGGAUCGAGGACAGUGUAUGGUGGGUAGUUUGACUGGGGCGGUCUCCUCCCAAAGAGUAACGGAGGAGUACGAAGGUGCGCUCAGACCGGUCGGAAAUCGGUCGUAGAGUAUAAAGGCAAAAGCGCGCUUGACUGCGAGACAGACACGUCGAGCAGGUACGAAAGUAGGUCUUAGUGAUCCGGUGGUUCUGUAUGGAAGGGCCAUCGCUCAACGGAUAAAAGGUACUCCGGGGAUAACAGGCUGAUACCGCCCAAGAGUUCAUAUCGACGGCGGUGUUUGGCACCUCGAUGUCGGCUCAUCACAUCCUGGGGCUGAAGCCGGUCCCAAGGGUAUGGCUGUUCGCCAUUUAAAGUGGUACGCGAGCUGGGUUUAGAACGUCGUGAGACAGUUCGGUCCCUAUCUGCCGUGGACGUUUGAGAUUUGAGAGGGGCUGACCUUAGUACGAGAGGACCGGGUUGGACGAACCUCUGGUGUUCCGGUUGUCACGCCAGUGGCAUUGCCGGGUAGCUAUGUUCGGAAAAGAUAACCGCUGAAAGCAUCUAAGCGGGAAACUUGCCUCAAGAUGAGAUCUCACUGGAGCCUUGAGCUCCCUGAAGGGCCGUCGAAGACUACGACGUUGAUAGGUGGGGUGUGUAAGCGCUGUGAGGCGUUGAGCUAACCCAUACUAAUUGCCCGUGAGGCUUGACCAU
rnacentral:ncRNA from 1 species